rnacentral:rRNA from 1 species
GAUGAACGCUAGCUACAGGCUUAACACAUGCAAGUCGAGCGAGAAAGUUUCCUUCGGGGAAUUUUCUAGCGGCGGACGGGUGAGUAACACGUGGGUAACCUGCCUUGUAGAGGGGGAUAGCCUUCCGAAAGGAAGAUUAAUACCGCAUAAUAUCAUUUCUUCGCAUGUUGAGAUGAUCAAAGGAGUAAUCCGCUAUAAGAUGGACCCGCGGCGCAUUAGCUAGUUGGUGAGGUAACGGCUCACCAAGGCGACGAUGCGUAGCCGACCUGAGAGGGUGAUCGGCCACAUUGGGACUGAGACACGGCCCAGACUCCUACGGGAGGCAGCAGUGGGGAAUAUUGCACAAUGGGGGAAACCCUGAUGCAGCAACGCCGCGUGAGUGAUGACGGCCUUCGGGUUGUAAAGCUCUGUCUUUGGGGACGAUAAUGACGGUACCCAAGGAGGAAGCCACGGCUAACUACGUGCCAGCCGCCGCCGUAA